rnacentral:rRNA from 1 species
UACGUAGGGUCCGAGCGUUGUCCGGAAUUACUGGGCGUAAAGAGCUCGUAGGUGGUUUGUCGCGUUGUUCGUGAAAACUCACAGCUCAACUGUGGGCGUGCGGGCGAUACGGGCAGACUAGAGUACUGCAGGGGAGACUGGAAUUCCUGGUGUAGCGGUGGAAUGCGCAGAUAUCAGGAGGAACACCAAUGGCGAAGGCAGAUCUCUGGGCCGUAACUGACGCUGAGGAGCGAAAGCAUGGGGAGCGAACAGG